rnacentral:rRNA from 1 species
AGAGUUUGAUCCUGGCUCAGAUUGAACGCUGGCGGAAUGCUUUACACAUGCAAGUCGAGCGGCAGCGCGGGGCAACCUGGCGGCGAGCGGCGAACGGGUGAGUAACAUAUCGGAACGUAUCCAUAAGUGGGGGACAACCUAGCGAAAGUUAGGCUAAUACCGCAUACGCAGGGAACUGGAAAGUGGGGGAUCGCAAGACCUCACGCUUUAGGAGCGGCCGAUAUCAGAUUAGCUUGUUGGUGAGGUAAAGGCUCACCAAGGCGACGAUCUGUAGCUGGUCUGAGAGGAUGAUCAGCCACACUGGGACUGAGACACGGCCCAGACUCCUACGGGAGGCAGCAGUGGGGAAUUUUGGACAAUGGGGGCAACCCUGAUCCAGCCAUUCCGCGUGAGUGAAGAAGGCCUUCGGGUUGUAAAGCUCUUUUGUUCGGGACGAAACGGUUACGGUUAAUAACUGUGACUAAUGACGGUACCGGAAGAAUAAGCACCGGCUAACUACGUGCCAGCAGCCGCGGUAAUACGUAGGGUGCGAGCGUUAAUCGGAAUUACUGGGCGUAAAGCGUGCGCAGGCGGUUUUAUAAGCCAGAUGUGAAAUCCCCGGGCUUAACCUGGGAAUGGCAUUUGGGACUGUAAGACUAGAGUAUGGCAGAGGAGACUAGAAUUCCUGGUGUAGCAGUGAAAUGCGUAGAUAUCAGGAGGAAUACCGAUGGCGAAGGCAGGUCUCUGGGUCAAUACUGACGCUCAUGCACGAAAGCGUGGGGAGCAAACAGGAUUAGAUAC